CAGUCGCCGCGGUAAUACGGAGGGUGCAAGCGUUAAUCGGAAUUACUGGGCGUAAAGCGCACGCAGGCGGUCUGACAAGUCUGCUGUGAAAUCCCCGGGCUCAACCUGGGAAUGGCAGUGGUUACUGGAAAGCUAGAGUGUGUCAGAGGAUGGUGGAAUUCCCGGUGUAGCGGUGAAAUGCGUAGAGAUCGGGAGGAACAUCAGUGGCGAAGGCGGCCAUCUGGGACAACACUGACGCUGAGGCACGAAAGCGUGGGGAGCAAACAGGAUUAGAUACCCCUGUAGUCCCUGUCUCUUAUAC
rnacentral:rRNA from 1 species